rnacentral:rRNA from 1 species
CAGCUAGCUUAUCCACCAAUACAACCAAAUAAUAUAAAUAAAAUAGAAUUGACCAAAUAUCAAAAACUAAACCAUUCUUUUACCUGAGUAUGGGAGACAGAAAAGGUUCAACCAAAGCAAUAGAGACAGUACCGCAAGGGAAAGCUGAAAGAGAAAUGAAAUAACCCAUAUAAGUAUUAAAAAGCAAAGACUAAACCUUGUACCUUUUGCAUCAUGAUUUAGCCAGUAAACACAAGCAAAGAGACCUUUAGUUUGAAACCCCGAAACCAGGUGAGCUACCCCGAGACAGCCUAUUAAGGGCCAACCCGUCUCUGUGGCAAAAGAGUGGGAAGAGCUCCGGGUAGAAGUGACAGACCUACCGAACCUGGUGAUAGCUGGUUGCCUAAGAAAUGGAUAGAAGUUCAGCCUCGUGUGCCUCAAAUCAAACGAGCACUAACCAAGACACUAAGAGAAAAACACGAGAGUUAGUUAAAGGGGGUACAGCCCCUUCAACAAAGGAUACAACCUUACCCAGGAGGAUAAAGAUCAUAUUGUACAAAACAUACUGUUCUAGUGGGCCUAAAAGCAGCCACCUAAACAGAAAGCGUUAAAGCUCAGACAGGAAAAAGUUUAUUAUUCUGAUAAAAAAUCUUACUCCCCUAAAUACUAUUAGGCUAAUCCAUGCCCCCAUGGAAGAAAUUAUGCUAAAAUGAGUAACAAGAAGGCCCGCCCUUCUCCAAGCACAAGUGUAAGCCAAACCGGACCAACCAUUGGCAACUAACGAACUCAACCCAAGAGAGCAAUGUGAAUCACAAAAAAAACAAGAAAACCCCACAACCCAAUAAUCGUUAACCCCACACUGGAGUGCUAUAAAGGAAAGACUAAAAGAAAAGGAAGGAACUCGGCAAACACAAGCCUCGCCUGUUUACCAAAAACAUCGCCUCCUGCAACGCAGCCAUGUAUAGGAGGUCCAGCCUGCCCAGUGACUACAAGUUCAACGGCCGCGGUAUUUUGACCGUGCAAAGGUAGCGCAAUCACUUGUCUUUUAAAUAGAGACCUGUAUGAAUGGCUAAACGAGGGCUUAACUGUCUCCCCUUUCAAGUCAGUGAAAUUGAUCUGCCCGUGCAGAAGCG